UAAGCGGAAGCCAAUAAGGCAGUUAUCUGUUACAUAUCCUAAAGCUUACUUUAAGCCCGCUUAA
rnacentral:tRNA from 1 species